UUUAAACAUAAACAUGAAUUUCCGUGUUCUGUCUUAUAUGACUUUUUUUAUAAUUAAUAUUUUUAUUGUUAUUAUAUGAUAAAAUAUAAAUAGUACUUUAUACGUGACUUAUGUUUUUAUUUUCUUUUAAGAAAAUUCAAAUAAGAACAAUUAAAAUUAAAGAUGGAAACUUAUAGUUGGGUUUAAA
rnacentral:pre_miRNA from 1 species